ACGUAUCUCCGAGUCCGGCGGUCGGCAUCGCCGCUCCCCCGGCUCGAAAACCACAAACCCACCGUGCUCCUUUACGGCCAGGUCGUCGGCGAAAGCCGCUCGACCGGAGCCGCAUUCAAAUAGACUCCAGUUCAAAAGAAUGCAAAGCGGACUCCGAUCCGCCCAUAAACUGAAA
rnacentral:misc_RNA from 1 species